GCGAGUAUAGAUAAACGGUAUAUCAUUAAUUUUCCGAAUUGAAGUUGCGGGUUCGAAUCCCGCUUCUCGCU
rnacentral:tRNA from 1 species